ensembl:snRNA U6 U6 spliceosomal RNA
UUGAUUCAGUAGCACAUAUACUAAAACUGGAACGAUACAGAGAAGAUUAGCAUGGCCCCUGCGUGUCUGCAGCCUUCAUUGCAGCUAAAUAAGAAUAGGAUAUUAUU